AUGGGGCAUUAAGAUUUGAUACUCACGUGAAUAUUAAAUCUAAAUAUAUGUAUAGAGUUUAGCAUCUAACAAAUGAUUAUCCUAAAUCUAGAUUCGAAGAGUAUUUCUCAAUAACAAUUCAAAUCGAUAGAUAAAACAACUUAACAAGGAUAACAUCGAUAUAGAUUCGUGAAUAGAUUAUACAUAAUGCCAUGAUUAAUAAAAAUACAUACUAUCAAAGUGAUCUUACAUCCAAUCCCAACAAGAAAGGGAUUUAGCUACACAUAGUAUCUUAAUAUAAAGAGAAAAAUGAAGAAAAACAAGCAUCCACCGUGAUUUCCCAAUGAUAGAAGCAAAUCCAACUCCGGAUCUUCAAGAAGCAUCCUAACUUGUUGUUUUCCAGUCUCACUCUCUCCAAAAAUGUCUUCUCUUGGCUAUUCCAAGAGAGCAAAUGAAAAAAUAUCCGAAAAACAAGAGAGAGGAGAUCAAAAAUAUGAUUUGGACAUAUUUAUACAAAGUUAAAAAUUACCUGUCUCGCCCGACGAACAGGGUCUCUAAUUUUUUAUUUAACGACAUGAACAUCGUGACAUAAAUUAGUGGCGUCUUUUUCCCAUGACAAUUUGUUACCACGAAUGCUCCUGCGACGUGUUUCAGUUAGAUCGUUAAUUUCCUUUUAUAACGUGAUAUUUAGGUUUAUGGUGUAUAUUUCAAGUGACAAAUAUUUUUU
rnacentral:lncRNA from 1 species